UGCUCUGGUGUCCUAGUGGUUAGAGCGUCUGCCUUGGAUGUGGGAGGUCACAGGUUCGAUCCCUGGUUGAGUCA